CUAGAUGAUCAUUUCUCCAUCCAUAAAGAUAUAUCGAUAGAGAAAUGCGAAAAUGUAAAACUAGUUAAUUUGUACUAGCGAGGCACCUAUAAAACUCAGCUUGACGCAAUCGAGCUGCGAUCAUCGUCGUCAGAGACAAAGCCUAAUCUUUAUGACUACCUGGGGCCCAAGCCAACCCUACCUCAACGUGGCCACUAGCCAGCAGUGGCUACUCCGGGCAGCCAGCCAGGUGGUGGCUUUAAUUUUGCAUGUGUGUUGCAAUAAUCGAUUUUGUCUAAGCUUGCUUACGCGCGUAUUCAAUUCAUAUGUGAAUAGAGAUGAUUGAAAUUUUUCGUUCCAAUGAAGGUUCGUUUCUUGGUGCGGCGCGGUCGCGUUCAAGUCUCUUGUCGCUGACUGCCGCGCCGUGAAAAUUAAACUGUCAUCCUAGCCCGCGGGUCCAUAAAGCUCUGUGCCGCUACUGAUGGAUAUGAAGUGCAUCGUCCGUUGCAGCGGUCCAUGAAUGGAUUUUCUUUGACGGAUUGGUUUGAUGAAUUGAAUUCAUUUGCUCUACUGUUGCAUCUAGGCACGGUACGGUGGUAAUUAAAAUGUUUCUAUUUGGUGUUGCGUUCUCUAUGUUGUUGAGAUAUUACUUAAUAUUGCAGUGCUAAUUAAUAUUCUUUUGAACGUGGUAAUUCAUAAUUGAUUUGUUGAAUCAAAUGUAGUGGGAAAUCUCAUUUUUCAAUAUGAUUAGUUACAUUUUUUUUUGGUAUUGUAGUUCAAACACGAUGGUUCUCAAACAAUAAUCUUGGAGAAAUAAUAUUUUUUGAUGAAAUUGUCAAAUGCCGGAAACGAAUGAUGAAUUUACCUGGCCAUGUAACUGUUCCCCGCAUCAGUAUACAGCCUAUAAUUCAAAGAAGAAAAUAUCUUUGCUAAAAUUUUGGCAGUUUCAACGCCAACUAUUGCCGGGGCCCGUGGCGUAGUGGCUACACGUUUGCUUCAUAAGCAGAUGGUCAUGGGUUCGAUCCCAGCCCCGGCACUUUCAGUUGCUCUUUCCCCCUGAGAGCAGCUGACACUGACCUUCUUCUGAGCCCAUGGCUCAAACGAACCCGGAUACUUGGACAUCGGCGAACGGCAAACAAUAAUGGACCUCCAAUCGGGCUGGAAACAGGAACAACCAACAGCCACACAUCAACAUCCUCGAGCUCAUCAUUCUACCAUGAUAGGGUAGAAAGUUAAAGCAGCGCAACGGCUACCAGUUCGAUGUAGUACAAUUAGAAAUAGAAUACAUUUAGGCGCUGUACAAAGUAUACACAGAGAAAAAUUUCUAUAAUUUCUGAAACAGUCUAUAAUUCCUGAAUGUCGUUAGAUUGUCAAAAACUACUUCUGGAUUAUUUUGAUCAUAACUCGGUCAAACGGCAUUCUGAUAAAUGGCCGUAAACCUCACCAUAUGUUCCUCCAUUUCGGUUCCUUGACGACAACCCAAGAAUGAUUCUUCUGAUGUGAAUACCGUAUCGGCUACCGUAAAACGGUAGCGUAUCAUCUGCUUCAAAUUCUUCGUCAGAGAGCGUUCAUAAAUGACGUAGCCUUUUUAACCCUCUCCCCUUCGUAGCAUUUCACCACAAACUCCCGUACCCCUUCUAUAAAUGACGUAGCUUUAUGAAUACCCAGCCUCCCCCACCCCUCAACAAAUUUUCAUAUCAAAAAGCAACAAAAAAUCAAAGCUUAGUUCUGAUUUCGAUUUCAACUGAUAUCUUCAACGAAUGUUAUGGAAAUCCAAGUAUAGCAAGAAAACAUUGGGUGCCGAGUCUUUUGGGCAGUAGCUGGUAUUUUGGUCACUUUUCUGCUAUAACUCAGUCAAUUAAAAGCAAUUGACAUUUUUAUACGGCUAGAUAUUAUGCAUAUCUCAUCACGUACAAAAAAUCAAGCCAAUAGGUUUAAAAAUGAUUGAGUUGUAGCGGAAAAGUGCCCAAAGUAGAAGCCCUGGAGAGAUGGUUCCACUUCCUUUUCUUUCCACCGUUUACUUUCAGGUGUAAGAGUUUACGCACUAAAAGUUCUGUUAAGAAUAUCAAAUUGGUUUCAUUUGAAUAAUAUUCACCAUGACAUUUUGGAGAAUUACUGCGUUUUUCAAUUCCUCCUGCACUUCUUUCUGGGAUUUCCCCAAGAAUUCCCUUUAGGAUUCCAUCUUCCUUGUAUUCCUUCAGGGGUUUCUUCAGAGAUCCCUCCAAGAAUUCCUUCCGAAGGUUCUUCUGAGAUUCCUCCAGGGGUUUUUUCUAAGAUUUUUCUAUGAGUUAAUCCAUAGUUUCCUUCAGGAGUUCUUUCAAGGUUUUCUUCUUCGCAUUUCCCCCAGGAGUUUUUUUGGACAUCUCUCCAGCGAUUUCUACCGGAAUUUAUUUUAAGAUUCCAUCAGAACUUUUUGCUGGAUUUCCUAAAGAAGUUUCUUCCAGGAUUCCUCCACGAGUUUUUUUCUGGAUUUGCUUCAGGAAUUCCUUCCGGAGUUCACACAAAUAUUUAUUCCGAGAUUUUUGCAAGAAUUUCUUCCGAUAUUUUUUCAAAACCCUUCAAAGUCGCUUCUGGGAUUCCUCCAGGGUUUCUUUUAGAAACUCCUUACUGGAUUCUUCUACGAGUUUCUUCUGGGAUUUAGCCAGGGUUAUUAUUCCAAGACUACUGCAGGAGCUUUUUCCGACAUCCUCCAUUCACCCUGGUAGGAUCUCUUAGAAUUCCGCGAACAAUCCCUUCCUGUUCUGGCAGCACUGCACGAGCGCCGGUUACCACACGGCAUGAUUUGGACGAUGAGGCAGCGAUGUAAGUGUCGGUUGACAGACGUCAAAAUGACAGGAGCAUAAAUGUCAGGAGUGAGUAAGAAGGAAAGACGUCAACCUAAAACUGUAAAUAAUAGCAUAAGAAGUAGCGUAAUAAAAUGAAAUCCUUGUAAAUAGAAGUUUGAUGAGAGUGAAGACGAAAGUGCGCGAGUUUCUAUUAGUUGAAUUUGGUUGGAGAUUAGCUCCAUUUCGAAUUAGUUCCGUGAGUGUUAGAAUCACACAAGGUGGUGGACCCGUUUCAACACCAGGAGAUUUAAUUGCUGAACUGCGGUGAAUCGAAGCGAAUUCCAAGGCCCAGACAGGCAGGACAGGAAAACAUCGGUAGGACAGAGACUCCGCUCGGAUAAGGUAACAAAGUGAACGAUAGUGAUCUGGAUAGAAAUAUAAUUGAUUGAUCUGGUAGAUUAGGAAGACGCACACGACGAGACAGAUCCAACGGCACAGUGUAGAAAAUUGCGCUUACUGUGGCCAAAAUUUGUAAGUUGAGAUAUUUACUAAAGUUUUAAAUGAAAUAAGACAUAGGUAAAUAAUUUAAUAGGUGGUUGCGUUGCCUCUUCGGAAAGUAGGAAGGAAAGCCAGGAAGGAGGAAAAUCAAACUUUAAUUGUGAGUUUUGCAUGAACUUUUCAUAAUUUUACCCAUUCGAACUGUAUGAUUACUAACGCGAAUAAUUGUUUAUUGAAUUACAGUUUGAUCUGCCAUAACGUAUAAC